rnacentral:rRNA from 1 species
CGUGUAGGCGGUUUGGCAAGUCAGAUGUGAAAGCCCUGGGCUCAACCCAGGAAGUGCAUUUGAAACUGCCAUCCUUGAGUAUGGGAGAGGAGAGUGGAAUUCCCAAUGUAGAGGUGAAAUUCGUAGAUAUUGGGAGGAACACCCGUGGCGAAGGCGACUCUCUGGACCAAUACUGACGCUGAGACGCGAAAGCGUGGGGAGCAAACA